UGGGGAAUUUUGGACAAUGGGCGAAAGCCUGAUCCAGCAAUGCCGCGUGUGUGAAGAAGGCCUUCGGGUUGUAAAGCACUUUUGUCCGGAAAGAACUCCUCUGGGUUAAUACCUCGGGGGGAUGACGGUACCGGCAGAAUAAGCACCGGCUAACUACGUGCCAGCAGCCGCGGUCAUACGUAGGGUGCAAGCGUUAAUCGGAAUUACUGGGCGUAAAGCGUGCGCAGGCGGUUUUGUAAGACGGAUGUGAAAUCCCCGGGCUUAACCUGGGAACUUCAUUCGAGACUGCAAGGCUAGAGUAGGGCAGAGGGGGGUAGAAUUCCAGGUGUAGCAGUGAAAUGCGUAGAGAUGUGGAGGAAUACCGAUGGCGAAGGCAGCCCCCUGGGCCAAUACUGACGCUCAUGCACGAAAGCGUGGGGAGCAAACA
rnacentral:rRNA from 1 species